rnacentral:misc_RNA from 1 species
AAGUGAUUCAACUGAAACAAGUAUUAGGGUUUGUAGGUAUAGCGGGAAGAGGGAAGAUACAAGAUGAGUGUAUGGAACUACGUGGUUACGGCUCACAAACCAACAAAUGUUACACAUUCCUGUGUUGGCAAUUUCACCGGUCCUCAAGAGCUCAAUCUUAUCAUUGCGAAAUGUACUCGAAUCGAGAUUCAUUUACUUACUCCCCAAGGUUUACAGCCUAUGUUAGAUGUGCCAAUAUAUGGGAGGAUCGCGACACUUGAGCUUUUUCGUCCUCACGGUGAAACACAAGAUCUUCUCUUCAUCGCAACAGAGCGAUAUAAAUUCUGUGUCCUUCAAUGGGAUACUGAGGCAUCUGAAGUUAUCACAAGAGCAAUGGGAGAUGUGUCAGACCGAAUAGGCCGUCCCACAGAUAAUGGUCAGAUUGGUAUAAUUGAUCCAGAUUGCAGAUUGAUCGGGCUACAUCUUUAUGAUGGACUAUUUAAGGUUAUUCCAUUUGAUAACAAAGGCCAACUGAAGGAAGCUUUUAACAUCAGGCUCGAGGAGCUUCAAGUUUUAGAUAUUAAAUUCUUG